rnacentral:rRNA from 1 species
GAGAGAGUAAACAGUGCGUGAAACCGCUCAGAGGUAAACGGGUGGAGUUGAACUGCGAUCCUUGGGAAUUCAGCUGAUGAGCAUGAUUUGUGCUUGGGCAUAUUGACCGCCUUUCAGUGUCUGCUUAACUGCGGGUGCCUGCCUCUGGUGGGUAUGUGUGGUGCGCUUAUCAUGUGCCGCACGCAUUGGAGGGUGUAUGAGUCUGCUUGUCAGUGCACUUUCUCAGGGUGUUCACCACGACCGGCGCUGCUGUCUGUCUGCUGUAGUCAAACUGAUCAGGUCUGAUUAACGUUGGGCUUGGUUGGGUUGGCAGGUGACUCACUGGUCCAUUCUGUGGGCUAUGAGUGUUACUAGCCGGCUAUAGUGGAUCUGUACGGUGUGUCGGAGUCGGCGGCUUUGCAUAUGCGCUCUGUCCUUCAGGCGUGGUUGAGUCUGGUCGACUUGUUGCUAGUUUCGGCUGGUCAGUUGAUGGCUUGAUCAUGUUCAGUUGGCAGUGGUGUGUGUGUCUUAGUUUGGGCCAAUAGUCUGUGGUGUUGUGGUAGACUAUCCACCUGACCC